AGGUUAAACAGCAUGUGUAUAUGUAACUCCCGCAUACUUUGUGACCUUACUAUAGAUAAGCAAAGAUUGGCAGUAUUAGAUGUGCAGCUCUCCUUCCAACUGACAGAUUUCCUUCCCCUUCAGUGGAGACCCCCGGGAUUAAGUAAAUGCCAUCAGAUUGGGAUCUCAGGCCUCCUUACAAUAAUUCAGUGCGACUAGAAACAGCAGAUCGGUAAAUGAAAUCCUGCAUUUAUUGAAUGAACGUAAAUCAUUCCACGACCGGGCUGGCUCUCCCACGGGGUGGGGUCUCUGUUGUGACGGUACCUGUGCUAACAAAGGCAGAAAAAUCACAGGCAGCGUCCUCGUGCCAUGCAUGGGAGCGGAGGGGUUUCCACUGCAGGGACGUGAACGCUUUUGCAUGCUGUCGUGGUUUGGCUGUGGCAGUUUCGAGGUUAGCACGAUCAGGAACUGGAAAUAAGCCAAGUCCUGAGACAGCACUUUGAGAUAUGAAUGACCCAUGAAGAGCUACCAAAAAAGUGGCCUUGCCAUGUCUCACAGGGGAAGGGAUGAUAAAGUGUUACAACCCAAGCCUACCUCCACUUCAGGAGAAUGCAGGUACUAUGCGGUAAAAACUGCUCUGAGUGAUGGAGAUGAAGCAAGCUGAAGUCACAUUAAGCAAGCGCAACUCAUGAAAUUUACUCCCGUGCUUCACCUCCUGUAUUACAUUCAUUUGAUUACACCGUACUUAGACAGACGUGUGCUCACUGGCAGGCUGCACAGAACGCCAAUGCUGAUGAUACCUUAAAUCAAGACACUGAAUAAACACAGGUUUGAAUAUGAAUUUCCGUAGGGCGGAAGAAUAAUGGUGGGAGGUGGAGCAGUUAUGUGAAUAGACCCCGCUAUGGGUUAGAUUCAAGACAAACAUAAUGGAAGUGAAGAUUACAUACUUGUAUAUUGCUGCAAUGGAGUUGGGAGUCA